GACGAACGCUGGCGGCGUGCUUAACACAUGCAAGUCGAACGAAGUGGCGAACGGGUGAGUAACGCGUAAUCAACCUGCCCUUCAGAGGGGGACAACAGUUGGAAACGACUGCUAAUACCGCAUACUGAAGGAGGGGAUUGCGUCUGAUUAGCUAGUUGGAGGGGUAACGGCCCACAAAGGCGAUGAUAAGUAGCCGUUCUGAGAGGAUGAACGGCCACAUUGGGACGGAGACACGGCCCAGACUCCUACGGGAGGCAGCAUGGGGGAGUCUUCCGCAAUGAACGAACGUCUGACCGAGCAACGCCGCGUGGGUGAAGAAGGUUUUCGGAUCGUAAAACUCGGUUGUUAGAGAAGCGGUAUCUAACCAGAAAGCCACGGCUAACUACGUGCCAGCAGCCGCGGUAAUAC
rnacentral:rRNA from 1 species